UAAAAUAAAAGGAAAAUUGCAUUAGGUUGAAAUGCCUUUUAGAAGAUAUACGCUCCUGAAGAAUACACGAAUGUUCACUCGAUCCCUCAUAAAUGCAGGAAAGUGUCAAAUUCAUACAUACACGUUGUCACACAUCGUAGCAGAGAUACGAAGCAGAGAUAAGGCGGAUGCAAGUGCAGGAUAACAGUUGUUUAUUUAAAGAGACAGGCAGGCAGACAAAUCCAAAACGUGAUCCAAAACGUAAUUCAUAAACAGGCAAGAGGUCAGGCGAUUGGCAAACAGGUAUACACGGGGCUAGGCAGGAAUCUAGGUCGAUAACCAAAACAAGACACGAACUAGAACGAGGGACUGGAAGCGGAGAAUCCAGCGCGGACUGACUAUGACUAUGACUAUGACUAUGACUAUGACUAUGACUAUGACUAUGACUAUGACGCGAACUAAACUGCCGCUAAACAUUUACUUACGACUUAUUACUCUUCCGCGUUGUGUGCUGGGAAGCGCGCGGUAUAUAUGCGGACAUGAUUAGCGUGUAAACUGCUAUCAGCUGGGAGCAAUACAGACCCACGUGAAUUCCCAGCCAAUGACGGAACAGGGAGGAGACAUGACAAACAUAAACAAAACACACGUGUCCCAAUGUCACUAUGGUCGACAGCGGAAAAGCAGGUGCUCGCGCAUUCGCGCUUAGAGCACGCUGCUUCAAGGGGGAAUCGUGACACACGUGUUGAUCUGCGGGUCACAUGAUCGGAAACUGCUGUGUUGGUGGCGUGUAGCCUGGGUGUGGACACUUGGAUCUGCAUGCUUGGGCUUUAUCACCCAUGGACAAUGCGACACUUCAGACUGUAAGCUGAAGAUUAGAAAAUGGUUUCUGUUUCUGUUUCUGUUCAUAAAAGGCAUUCAUUCACUCAUACAAGCUACAUUUGAUACUUUCUGCCAUUAUCUUUGACUGUUCCAUGCACUUUUAUUUUCUAUACUGAGUAGAGGUUUGUUCCCAGGUUUGGAUUAGAUCUGCUAAUAUUUGAAAAGCCCUGAACUUGGAUCCAGUUGCAUCUGGUUUCCAAUCAUUGAGACAUAAAGCCACACUUUGAGAUUGCACUGAUCUGAAAUGUUGUCAGUGAUAUUAAAUGGAUCACACUGCCAUCCAAAGAA